GUAAGUAAAAUUUCCAGUGAACUAAACAUUGGUGACUGGGCAAACACGACAGAAUGCCACUAAUGAUUUUUGGGUUGCCUUCCAAUGCACAGGAAGCAGUCCUACCUUGAAAUGUUUGAAAAGUGUACUGAAAGCAUUAAAUAAAAGCCAGGUCCUUGUCCUUUCUUAAAAACAGCCUGUGUGAUGAUAAGCAAAUGCUGACUGAAUAUGAAGGUCUUAAUUAGCUCUAUCUGAUUUCAGGCAUUUUAAAAAUUUGUGGGGCGAAAAUUUGUCUUUGGCUAUAGAAAACCACUCUUUUAUUUCUUAGGUGAACUUGAAUCCUUGACCUGUCAAAAGCAGUUGGCCUUUUUGAUGAUGGCUACAUGUUUUUUUCUAUGGAUGACUUCUUUGGGGUGUGAAGAGAGGUAGAGACUACGUCCAUGCAAGGAACCAAGAGUUCUAACCAAAGGUAUGGAAGUCUCAAAUUUGGUUUUUGUGUUUUGUGAUUUAAAGCCGAUACAAUGAUGAAAACAUAGUUCAGCAGACUAACAGUGAUGAGCAAAUACUGUCUUUCGCUCCUAUCUGAUGUAUCUGGCUACAACAAUUCUGUUUUAUACCUUUGAAAGUGGAAAUUAGUCAUAUUAGUCUUUGUCUCACUGAAAUGUUCAGGAUUUGGAUAAGUAUAAUGUAAGUGUCCUAUAUAGUUAAUUUCAGGAUUAGGAGUUAACAUUUUGAUAAGAACAGGCUAAAACUGAGGAAAUUUCCAUGUCAUAACUGU
rnacentral:lncRNA from 1 species